UACGUAGGGUGCAAGCGUUGUCCGGAAUUGUUGGGCGUAAAGAGCUCGUAGGCGGUCUGUCGCGUCGAAUGUGAAAACCCGGGACUCAACUCCGGGCCUGCAUUCGAUACGGGCAGACUAGAGUUCGGUAGGGGAGACUGGAAUUCCUGGUGUAGCGGUGAAAUGCGCAGAUAUCAGGAGGAACACCGGUGGCGAAGGCGGAUCUCUGGGCCAUUACUGACGCUGAGGAGCGAAAGCGUGGGGAGCGAACAGG
rnacentral:rRNA from 1 species